AUGAGAACAGGUGAAUUUUUUUUUUUUGUUGAUAUCAGCUUAUUCACCACAGAUGAAUUAUGUGAGAUAUAUUGUUUGCUAGCAAGUUGUCCAUUCAGUAAUCAUGAGAAGGUAUUCCAGGAUGGAAUCUGCAGCUUAUGGACAACAAUAAAAAGCACUCUGUAAUGAUGACCAUUGUCAAAAUACGUUUGAAGAAUUCUGAAGGCCAGUGUUUCUCAAACUAGUCCUCAAGGCCAAACAAUCCAGGUUUGUUGAUAUCCCCAUUGAAAUAGAACUGGGUAACACUUAAAUCUCGGGCAAUUGGAUGUCCUCGAGGAUUGACAUGAGAACUAAUUCAAUGGCCAACAUGAGCUAGAAGUCUGUAGCUUCCCUUUCCAUUUGUUAGAAGGAAUGUCUCACCAAAGCAUUGUUUCCAGUUCCAUCCGAGAUUUGUUUUUGUGAUUCACCAUUAGUGAGCUGAAUUCACUAAAUGCUGUUAACUACUGUAACUCAUGCUAUGCAUGUUAUGGUUAACACUAUAUUCACGUCGGACAUGAUUUGAUUUGGUCUGCUAAUUAAUAAACCCAUUGUUUUAGUACUACUGAAUAUCUUUAUACACUUCUAGCUCUAUAAUUAAUAAAAGUGUGUUAACUCUUUGAGCACCAGGGGGAGAGCAGUUCCUUUACAUUUUACUUCCAAGUGCUUAAUUAAUCAAAACAUUUUAGGUGUUUUUUUAUUAUCAAUUUUAGUUGUUGGGUGCCAGUGAGUGCUGCUGACAUUACACAUUGGUGAAAUAUGGCACAUUAAUGGUAAUUCAGAAGAGGACUCAAGUACUCUAUUGAGUUGGCAUCUGUGAUUAG